rnacentral:tRNA from 1 species
GGGGAGGUGGUUGAGUGGUUGAUAACAACGGUUUGCUAAAUCGUCGCAUAGGAUAUUGUAACUUAUGCCAUGGGUUCGAAUCCCAUUCUUCCUA